GUAGUCAAGCUACUAAGGGCUAGCGGUGGAUGCCUCGGGUGCGGGAGGCGAUGAAGGGCGUGGCAAGCUGCGAUAAGCCCCGGGGAGCCGCAAGCAGGCGUUGAUCCGGGGAUGCCCGAAUGGGGAAACCCGGCUGGGGUAAUACCCAGUCAUCCAUGGGUUAAGAGCCCAUGGAGGCGAGACCGGGGGAAGUGAAACAUCUCAGUACCCCGAGGAAAAGAAAUCAACCGAGAUUCCCUGAGUAGCGGCGAGCGAAAGGGGAGGAGCCUAAACCAGGCAGGUGUAGAAGCCCGUGGGCGUUGCCUGUCUGGGGUCGUGGGACUACACCGGAGAGGGCCACGGACCUCUCGGGGAGUUACAAAACCGCCUCUCUAGCCGAAGGCGCCUGGAAUGGCCCGCCGGAGAGGGUGAAAGCCCCGUAGGCGAAAGGGAGGCGGUCUCCCUGGGUGUAGAUCCCGAGUAGCACGGGACACGUGGAAUCCCGUGUGAAUCUGGGGGGACCACCCUCCAAGGCUAAAUACUACCCGCACACCGAUAGUGCACUAGUACCGUGAGGGAAAGGUGAAAAGAACCCCGGGAGGGGAGUGAAAUAGAACCUGAAACCGCUAGCCUACAAGCAGUCGGAGGGAAGGAGAAAUCCUUCCUGACGGCGUGCCUUUUGCAUAAUGAGCCCGGGAGUUGCCGUCAGUGGCGAGGCUAAGCCGUUGAGGCGGAGCCGUAGCGAAAGCGAGUCCGAAUAGGGCGUUAAGUCGCUGGCGGCAGACCCGAAGCGGGACGAUCUACCCAUGGCCAGGGUGAAGGUGGGUUAAUCCCCACUGGAGGCCCGAACCGGUGGAGGGUUAAAACUCCUCGGAUGAGCUGUGGGUAGGAGUGAAAAGCUAAUCGAGUCCCGUGAUAGCUGGUUCUCCCCGAAAUGCAUUGAGGUGCAGCCUCGAGUGGUCGCUGCCGGGGGUAGAGCACUGUUUGGGCUAGGGGGCUUACCAGCCUACCGAACCCAGGCAAACUCCGAAUACCGGCAAGCGCAGCUCGGGAGUGAGUCUUAGGGCGAUAACGUCCUAGGACGAGAGGGCAAGAACCCAGACCGCCAGCUAAGGCCCCUAAGUCCUGGCUAAGUGGUAAAGGAGGUGCCCCUGCUAAGACACCCAGGAUGUUGGCUUAGAAGCAGCCAUCAUUUAAAGAGUGCGUAACAGCUCACUGGGCGAGCGGGGGUGCGCCGAAAAUUACACGGGGCUUAAGCCAGGCGCCGAAGCUGCGGGCUGAAAGGCUUUGAGCCUUUCAGCGGUAGGGGAGCACUCUAGUUGCCGAUGAAGGUAGCUCGUAAGGGCUACUGGAGGUGCUGGAGGAGAGAAUCCGGGCACGAGUAGCGAUAAGGAGGGUGAGAAUCCCUCCCGCCGUAAGCCCAAGGUUUCCUGGGGAAGGGUCGUCCGCCCAGGGUUAGCCGGCCCCUAACCUGAGGCCGAAAGGCGUAGGGGAUGGGAAGAGGGGUUAAUAUUCCCCCGCCACCAGAGUGGAGGCCAAGGGGUGACGCAGAAGGGAAGGGCUCCGGGGCUGUAUGGUUGGCCCUCCAAACCUCUAGCCCGAUGAUGGACCGAGGCAAAUCCCGGUCCGGAGGGUGAGGGGGAGUAAGUAACCGAGAGCUACGGCUCUCGGGAAGGAGCUCGGACCACGCUGCCAAGAAAUAGCCUCGUGGCCGUUGAAGCUCUGGUGACCGUACCGCAAACCGACACAGGUGGGCGGGCAGUAAUCUGCCAAGGCGCGUGGGGCAACCCUGGCUAAGGAACUCGGCAAAUUGGCCCCGUAACUUCGGGAGAAGGGGUGCCCGCGUUAGGUGUAGGCCCUUGCGGUCGAAGCCGAGGCGGGUUGCAGGGAAACGGCGGUGGCGACUGUUUACCAAAAACACAGGGCUCUGCUAACUCGUAAGAGGACGUAUAGGGCCCGACGCCUGCCCGGUGCUGGAAGGUGAAGGGGUGGGGUUAGCGGAGAUUAAUUCCGCGAAGCUCUGCCCUUAAGCCCCAGUAAACGGCGGCCGUAACUAUAACGGUCCUAAGGUAGCGAAAUUCCUUGUCGGGUAAGUUCCGACCUGCAUGAAUGGCGUAACGACUGCCGCGCUGUCUCGGCCAGGGGCCCAGCGAAACUGUAGUCUCGGCGAAGAUGCCGAGUACCCGCGGUGGGACGGAAAGACCCCGUGGAGCUUUACUGCAGCUUGGCAUUGAACCUUGGGGUAGGAUGUGCAGGAUAGGUGGGAGGCUGUGAAGCAGGGGCGCCAGCUCCUGUGGAGCCACCGGUGAGAUACCACCCUUCCUGCCUCAGGGUUCUAACCUGCGGAAGAAAGCCUUCCGAGGGACAGUGCCUGGCGGGCAGUUUGACUGGGGCGGUCGCCUCCUAAAGAGUAACGGAGGCGCCCAAAGGUCCCCUCAGGUGGUAUAGAAAUCCACCGUUGAGUGUAAGGGCAUAAGGGGGCUUGACUGCGAGGCCGAUAGGCCGAGCAGGGGGGAAACCCGGGCCUAGUGACCCGGCGGUCCUGAGUGGAAGGGCCGUCGAUCAUCGGAUAAAAGUUACCCCGGGGAUAACAGGCUGAUCGCUCCCAAGAGUUCACAUCGACGGAGCGGUUUGGCACCUCGAUGUCGGCUCAUCCCAUCCUGGGGCUGGAGAAGGUCCCAAGGGUCGGGCUGUUCGCCCGUUAAAGGGGUACGUGAGCUGGGUUCAGAACGUCGUGAGACAGUUCGGUCCCUAUCCACCGCGGGCGCAGGAGGCUUGAGGGGAGCUGCCCCUAGUACGAGAGGACCGGGGUGGACGCACCUCUGGUGUCCCGGUUGUUCCACCAGGAGCAGAGCCGGGUAGCCAUGUGCGGAAGGGAUAACCGCUGAAAGCAUCUAAGCGGGAAGCCCACCCCAAGAUUAGGCCUCCCGAGGGUGGGGCAACCCACCCCCUGAAGGGCCCAGGGAGACUACCUGGUUGAUAGGCCAGAGGUGGAAGCCCAGCAAUGGGUGGAGCCUACUGGUACUAAUCGCCCGUGCGGCUUGGCUGCAGU
rnacentral:rRNA from 1 species